UCUGUUUAAUUUGUUGUCUAUUUGAGUUCAACUUGAGUUCAACCAGUCAACGCCUCUCUGAUUGGCCAACCGUGUCGACGCAGCCCAAUAGUAAACGCCACUCUGAUUGGCCAACAACACCGCUAACGUUUCUCACGAUUCAGAGGAACUUUUCUUCUGUGCCGGAGAUGAAGAAGCAAAUGGCCGCACGGUUCUAAUUGUUUCUUCUGCUGACGAUGGUUCUGCUCAGCACAAAUUUGUCCUGAAUAAGUUGAAGGCUGUUCAGUAAUGCACUCAUGGCAAAGUUCAAUAUGAAGGGGAAGGGGACAAAGUCAAAAAAGCCUUUAGAGAAGACUCAACUUUAUAAGGCAAUCCAAGAUGGAGUCAUGAAGUUUGAUUCCACAGCCACUGAGGGCUACAUUAGAAGUUGUGUCUCUGAACAGCUUAAACAUGCACCUCAAAGACGAGAAGGUGGAGGACACAAUGCUGAGAGGACUGAGGACUAAGGACCUUUUCACUUAAUCCACCGCGUCUUUUUUUUUUUCUUCCCACGAGUUGGCAAGUUGGCCUGUUUUGCCAGUAUUAAAACGGAAUAAAAAAGAGACGAGUGAGGAUUGAAUUGUAAUUUUAUUGUCUAUAAAUGGACAUGGAGGGUUUCUGAACUGUUCAGUUAUCACU